rnacentral:rRNA from 1 species
AUUGAACGCUGGCGGCAUGCCUUACACAUGCAAGUCGAACGGCAGCACGGGAGCAAUCCUGGUGGCGAGUGGCGAACGGGUGAGUAAUAUAUCGGAACGUGCCCAGUCGUGGGGAUAACGUAGCGAAAGCUACGCUAAUACCGCAUACGAUCUAUGGAUGAAAGCGGGGGAUCGCAAGACCUCGCGCGAUUGGAGCGGCCGAUAUCAGAUUAGGUAGUUGGUGAGGUAAAGGCUCACCAAGCCGACGAUCUGUAGCUGGUCUGAGAGGACGACCAGCCACACUGGGACUGAGACACGGCCCAGACUCCUACGGGAGGCAGCAGU